ACAGAGGUGGCAAACGUUGUCCGGAAUUACUGGGUGUAAAGGGUCCGCAGGCGGCCUUGUAAGUCAAAGGUGAAAUGUCCCGGCUUAACCGGGUCACUGCCUUUGAAACUGCAGGGCUUGAGUACGGUAGAGGAGAGUGGAAUUCCCAGUGUAGCGGUGAAAUGCGUAGAUAUUGGGAGGAACACCAGUGGCGAAGGCGGCUCUCUGGACCGAUACUGACGCUCAGGGACGAAAGCCAGGGGAGCAAACGG
rnacentral:rRNA from 1 species